rnacentral:rRNA from 1 species
ACGGAGGGUGCGAGCGUUAAUCGGAAUUACUGGGCGUAAAGCGCGCGUAGGCGGAUAUGUAAGUCAGAAGUGAAAUCCCUCGGCUUAACCGAGGAAUAGCUUUUGAUACUGUGUAUCUUGAGUUCGGGAGAGGUUAGUGGAAUUCCAGGUGUAGGAGUGAAAUCCGUAGAUAUCUGGAGGAACAUCAGUGGCGAAGGCGACUGACUGGCCCGAUACUGACGCUGAGGUGCGAAAGCGUGGGUAGCAAACAG